UACGUAGGGGGCAAGCGUUGGUCCGGAAUCAUUGGGCGGUAAAGAAGCGUGUAGGCGGUUCGGUAAGUCCGCUGUAAAAGUCCAGGGCUCAACCCUGGAAAGCCGGUGGAAACUGUCGAACUAGAGUACUAAAGAGGAUCGCGGAAUUCCCGGUGUAGAGGUGAAAUUCGUAGAUAUCGGGAGGAACACCGGUGGCGAAGGCGGCGAUCUGGGUAGAUACUGACGCUGAGGUGCGAAAGCGUGGGGAGCAAACAGG
rnacentral:rRNA from 1 species